UGAGGAAUAUUGGUCAAUGGGCGCGAGCCUGAACCAGCCAAGUAGCGUGCAGGAUGACGGCCCUAUGGGUUGUAAACUGCUUUUGUAUGGGGAUAAAGUCAAUCACGUGUGAUUGUUUGCAGGUACCAUACGAAUAAGGACCGGCUAAUUCCGUGCCAGCAGCCGCGGUAAUACGGAAGGUCCGGGCGUUAUCCGGAUUUAUUGGGUUUAAAGGGAGCGUAGGCCGGAGAUUAAGUGUGUUGUGAAAUGUAGACGCUCAACGUCUGACUUGCAGCGCAUACUGGUUUCCUUGAGUACGCACAACGUUGGCGGAAUUCGUCGUGUAGCGGUGAAAUGCUUAGAUAUGACGAAGAACUCCGAUUGCGAAGGCAGCUGACGGGAGCGCAACUGACGCUUAAGCUCGAAGGUGCGGGUAUCGAACAGGAUUAGAUACCCUGGUAGUCCGCACAGUAAACGAUGGAUGCCCGCUGUUGGUACCUGGUAUCAGCGGCUAAGCGAAAGCAUUAAGCAUCCCACCUGGGGAGUACGCCGGCAACGGU
rnacentral:rRNA from 1 species